UCCGGUUUAACACCGGCAGUCUCCCUAGCGUCCCCAACUUAAUGAUGGUAACUAAGGAUAGGGGUUGCGCUCGUUGCGGGACUUAACCCAACAUCUUACGACACGAGCUGACGACAGCCAUACAGCACCUAUCUCCACGCUACCGAAGUAGAAGUCAUAUCUCUAUGAUUGUCGUGGGAUGUUAAGCCCAGGUAAGGUUCUGCGCAUUGCGUCGAAUUGAACCACAUACUCCACCGCUUGUGCAGGCCCCCGUCAAUUCCUUUGAGUUUUAGCCUUGCGACCGUACUCCCCAGGCGGGAUACUUAAUGCGUAAGCUUUGGUACCCAGGGGGUUAACACCCCGGACACCUAGUAUCCAUAGUUUACAGCGUGGACUAC
rnacentral:misc_RNA from 1 species